CUGCUCUCCGCCAGAGAACUACAAGUGAAAAACUUCAAACUCAAAGGACUUGGCGGUGUCCCAUAUCGACCUAGAGGAGCCUGUCCUAUAAUCGAUACUCCCCGCUCUACCUAACCUCAACUAGCACUCUACAGCCUAUAUACCGCCGUCGACAGUCUACCCCAUGAGGGCCUAAUAGUAGACACAAUAGCCCAACCGCUAACACGUCAGGUCAAGGUGUAGCACAUGCUGAGGAAGAGAUUGGCUACAUUUUUUACAUUAAAAAACACGAAAUGCAACAUGAAACCCUGCAUGAAGGUGAAUUUAGUAGUAAGAUCUAAUGAGAGUAUUUAUCUUAACAACGCUCUGGGACGCGCACACACCGCCCGUCA
rnacentral:rRNA from 1 species